rnacentral:rRNA from 1 species
UAAAGAAAGCGUAAUAGCUCACUGGUCGAGUCGGCCUGCGCGGAAGAUGUAACGGGGCUAAACCAUGCACCGAAGCUGCGGCAGCGACACUGUGUGUUGUUGGGUAGGGGAGCGUUCUGUAAGCCUGUGAAGGCGGCCUGUGAGGGUUGCUGGAGGUAUCAGAAGUGCGAAUGCUGACAUAAGUAACGAUAAAGCGGGUGAAAAGCCCGCUCGCCGGAAGACCAA